GUCCUUUACCCAUCAGCCCUAAACACUGGUCUGAGUGGUUACAGAAGGAGGAAAAGUAAAAUGGAAACUAACUUCAAUUCUUGGGGAUACAUGAGCUAGUUUCAAAGAAAC
rnacentral:snoRNA from 1 species